rnacentral:lncRNA from 1 species
UAACAUACCUUGACAUAUAUAAAAUUUACGAGAAAAUUUCAUUUUUAAACAAAAUUAGAAUCCAUAAUAGGUGUAAUAUCCAUAAAAGCAAAACAUUUAACAAUAUUUGUAAAUGAAUUGGAACACAUAAGUUUCCAAAUUAAAGUGUACAAAACUAAAAUAUUUCUAGUUUCAUCAUGAAUCAACCUAAUACUCGUAAGUACGAUCUUCAUCACGUUGGUCGCCUACCACCAAUACAAAAUUAGAAUCCAUAAUAGGUGUAAUUUCCAUAAAAGCAAAACAUUUAACAAUAUUUGUCAAUGAAUUGGAACACAUAAGUUUCCAAAUCAAAGUGUACAAAAAUAAAAUAUUUCUAGUUUCAUCAUGAAUCAACCUAAUACUCUUAAGU